rnacentral:rRNA from 1 species
UACGUAGGGGGCAAGCGUUGUCCGGAUUUAUUGGGCGUAAAGAGCGUGUAGGCGGCCAGACAGGUCCGUUGUGAAAACUCGAGGCUCAACCUCGAGACGUCGAUGGAAACCGUCUGGCUAGAGUCCGGAAGAGGAGAGUGGAAUUCCUGGUGUAGCGGUGAAAUGCGCAGAUAUCAGGAAGAACACCCGUGGCGAAGGCGGCUCUCUGGGACGGUACUGACGCUGAGACGCGAAAGCGUGGGGGAGCGAACAGG